AGUAACCUAAUAUUUAGCU
rnacentral:snRNA from 1 species